UCCAUACCUUUUAUUGAACUCUGCAGACUUCAUUAAGGAACCAUUUGCUUGGAAAUUCUUAAACAUUUGGACAUAUUUUACAAGACAGGACAGCAGCUGGAGGUCACACAAGGAUCACGAUUUCAUCUCACCACAUGCAUAAACAGACACUGGAUUUCUGUUUGGUUUCAGUGUGUGUGUGUGUGUGUGUGUGUGUGUGUGUGUGUGCAAUGCUCAUUUUCAUCUUUACAAGGAGGGUUAGAGACGUAAACUGACGAGAGAUGAACAGGACCCACGAACGCGACCCCAAGAAAAGAGCGGCUGAGGACAUAGGUCAUUUAUGGCUAAUGUGAUUGGCUUGGCCCCCAUCAAGGGUGGGGCAGUCAGAAUGGCUUUGCUGGCAGAAAAGCCCCAAUUUCACUCCAUGGAUUCCUGUGAGAGACAGAGAGUCUUAGCUGAGGGGAUCGGGGUGCAUGCUAACAUGGGGGGGUUGGGGCUCAGAGAAAAGGAAACCAUUGGCUCCAAAAGCUUGAGGACAGACUGGCCCUUUUAUCCAGCUGGACCCCCAUGGCUCAGGAAAUGCAAUCCAGUUUCCAGAUACUGGCUCCUGCUCCUGCCCCAGCAAGUCCCAGACUAAGAGAAACCCCAGCCUCGGACCCUUGGCUUAGCCCACACGAAGUCCAUGGAGCGUCUCUGUGUGGCCUAAGCUAGAGCCUGAGGUGGAAAAGCGCAGGAAGGGGAGUGAGAAGAACGCUGAGAUGCCUGUGGGCCCCCCAGAAGCAUGGCUCUGUGGCUCUUAUCAGCUUGGGGCAAGUGUCAAAUUUGGAUGUUACCUUGACGCCAGAUAAAGUCAAAGAACAGAGCAUCUAGGUGAGCAGUGACAGGCUUCAGUGGGAGAGGGGCCCCCAGGUUCUUCUCCCUUCCUGAUUAGUAAUACCAUAAGCCAGAGAAGAACUCAUGAAGUCUAAGCUCCACCCACACAUUCACCGGUCCAUUGGUUCACUCAGAGGUCAUUCCAGUGCUCGCCCUCAAAAACAACACAAGUUGAAUGAUCACUACAUCAAGAGCACACUUUAGGGAAAACCCCGAGUUCCUUGUGCAGAAAACGGGCUUCCUCACCCUUGACCUUGAAGUCAAGAUAGGUUUAGAGAGCCAAGCAGCCAGCAGCCGAUCCUGUCCAGCAGUGGCCAAUCCUCCCUGUCCCCGCCCACGCAGGCAUGCUCUGCUCUUACACGUGAACUGUCGUCAUCUAAAAGAAAAACUAAAAGAGCCCAAGUGCCAGGGAAGCCCAGAGGGCAGUGAGCCAAGCUGCAGAGAAGUCAGACACUCCUAGGCUGCUUUUCCUGCGCUCACCCUUCUUUCCAAACCUGGUUAACUCGGCGAAGCAGGAAGAGCAGGGCGAUCCUUGCCUGGCCCUUGAGAGCAUCCUAAUGGGACAGACUGGGAGUGUCCUCCCGUUCCCUGAACUAUCCUGUUAUUGUCGCCUUGUGAUGUUCCAACUUGAGCUCCCUGCGGAAAAGAGCCUGGGGGGCGGGGGGCUGAUUUUUGUUUUAUUUGGUUUCAGAGGAGGGCAGCUGCUCAGUCUACCCAUCCAAACACAUGGUCCCACCUUGCCCAAUCAACACCCUGAGGCUGAUUGGACCUGUGUUCACGCUGAGGUUGCAGCUCUCCUCCACAGCCACCACACACCACUGCACAUGUGUCUGUGUGAGGGGCUCACAGAUCGCUCUUGCCAGAUACUUUCCUGCAGAAUGCAGUAUCCAGACCGAUUUGGAAAGAAAGCCACGGUAGUGGGGGAGUGGGCAUUCUGCGCCGAGGCAGCUGAAGGCUUGUUUUGUUGUAAAAUAGAACAUGGCCGCCUCUCUCUUUUGGCCCUUGUGGAUUUACUUCAUGGUUGGGGACUUUCAAAUGUCUUGAAUGAGAUCUCCUGCUUUUUAUUUUUUUACCCAAAAAAGAAGCCCUUUUGGUUCUGGUGCCAUUUGCUGAGGCCUGGGCAGUUGUCUACUGGGUGGCUGGUUAGUGGUAAGUUCAUUGUAUCUCUGGUAUAGAAAGCCUUGGGCUCCGGAGGGUGCAGGGUCUGGGCAGAAGGACUGAAGCACCGUGAGAUGGCCAGCCAGAGAUGGGGGGCUUUGUGGGCUGUUCCAUGCCUGGCCUGAAACAGGUGGCAUGAGUCCCACUCUGAUGUGGUACUGCUUAGGUCACUGAGGAGGGCUCAUGAAUAGGGCGCUUCAAUUUUCUGGGACAAAGAGCAGAGAGGCUGCAGGGUAUCCUCUUGUCACCUUCCUGCUUUGGCACCCCUCCCCACAGCUACAAAUCCUAGACUCUAAGUUCCUGCUAACUGGGCCCCAGGCAUAGGCCACAGUGGCUUGAGCCUGUGUCCAGAAUGUUCAAACCACCUACCCACACGUGUGUGCAGUGUACACACACACACACCACACCAUAAAACUAGGAGAGGUUCCCUGUUUAGUCCAGUUUUCAUGCAAUACCAGGGAUUCUUCAAUGCCCUCUUGCCCCUCUUUAAACACCUAUGUGGUAAGGAAUUCAUUAUCUACCAUGACAUGCCAUUGGGGUCUACGCUCAGACAGCUCAGCCUACUGGAAGAGCUUCCUUAAUCUGACCUGCAGUCCACCGCUCUGCCCCUCUCACGCAAGCCUUGCAUGCAGACUUGCUUCCAGAGUCUUCAAUGUGGCCAUCCUUCAGUUGGGUGGUGUCACGCUCAGGUGAACUGUACCAUUCUACCCUAUCCUGGCUAGCCUGGAAGAGGAGAGCUUUCCGGAUCUUUCCAGAAAUGGAAAGUUAGGGAGGGAAAGAUGAGGGAUGCUUGAUAAACAGAGCCCCUUCCAAAUUCAGUUCUUCAAAUUGGCACUUGGGGAUGUUCAGGAGAAAGCCCGGGUUUAGACAAUAUUGGGGACAUUGAUGGAAACUCAAACCAUACAACACUUUCUUGAUGAGGAUGGCUAUGGGCAGGGCUGUCUGCUUCUCUGAACGUCAAACCUAGGAAACAAGUGGGAGGCCAUUUUGUUUUGUUUUUAUUGUCCUUGUACAAAAGUUUUUUUUAAAUCUUGUGUUUGAUUUAGCUCUGGUUCAGAUCAGAUUACCAGGAUAGGAACAUUCUGAUUAAGGUCAUUGUGCAAAAUAGUAAGUCUGUAUUUGGGCAGACUUACUUCCGCUUGUGGUUUCUCUGGUAGGGACAGGCCACUGCCAUCUGGGGGUCCUGGUUGGUCUCACAUCUCUGAUUCUGGCAGAGUCCUGAACCCAGCAGCUGGCAGCGAGACAGGUCGGACACUGAGACCCGCAUGAAAGUGAGGUGGGGAUGACCCGGCCUUUCCUCAUCGUCCUGCACGGCUGGUGGGUGGAGAAUCACUUUCUGCUCAAGAUCCUGCUCAGUGAAUCUCCUCUGCCCACCGGAGGCUGAAAACUGCCUCGUGGAAUUAAUGACCACAAUGAUCCAAAAACUCCCCAAGGCUUGGAUAGGCGAAGCUGGAAAAAUCCACUGCUCUUGCCACAAAUCUCCUGCCCUGUGGAUCCAGGCAGCUGGAGCGAGAAGGGAGAUGAGAUAGCAGAUUCUAGGGACAUCUCCAUAGGGUUUGGCUGUACUGGUGUCUGGCCAGUAUUUUUUUUUUUUUUGGCUGUAAAAGCUGGAUUGAAAUGAGGCCCACCAUGUUCUUCUGGGGUUCAAGAACCCUAAAAUGCUCUAGCCUUAAUAUCCGAUUGAUACACAGGGGAGUGGAGUACUUAGCAGAGGAACGGGCCCGCCAAAAGGGACUUCGGUGCGUUCUGGGUCUCAGAAAUGGCAGCAGAAAGUUUGUUCACAGGAGAUUUUUGGUUCCAAGAUCUGUAAGGAUGAGAAAACUCCUAGGAGGGGUGUGGAGGAUGAGCUCAGAGAACCAGCCCACGUCCCUUCCUGAUUUUGAGGUCCAUCUGUGGCCCUGCCUCCCUUGGCCUCACUCCUGCAUUCAUGCCCUGAAUUCUAAGGAACAAUGAAUAGGAGGAACGCAGAAUUAGGAAAGCAACAACGUCAGCAGACUCUAGGCCUAGCGUCAGGAAAUGCCUACACAAGGAAGCCAACCCCCAGAGCCCUUCCCCACCCCCAGAAAAUCGGAAUCAAAAAAACAGAAGAAAAGAAAAAACAGCCCAAGAGAUGAUGGGAAGAAAUGAAAAAUGGCCAGAAAAUAUCACCUAUGAUAAUGACCAACCAUAAAAACCCUAAGAUAUUAUUUCAUAGUACAAAAGAAGAAACUAGACUGAAUUGCCCUAUUAUAAAUUUGCUAAAAAUACAUAUAUAUAUAUAUAUAUUUAUCUGAACAGAAAAAUAGACUACUUUGAGAUGCGUGGAGGUCCUAUAACGUGGUCGCGCAUCAGAUACGUCGAGAGCCAGAAAAAUGGCAAAAGAAAAUGCAGAGGUAACUAUUUUUUCUGGGUGCAGCCAGAGCUGAUUGGGGUCCCCCUGGCUGAGUGACAUAAAAGUAUUUGAAUGCUGAAAUAUAAGCAGUGAGAGGUGAGGAAACAACACCUCGGGGACUAGAAGAUGUUCAUUGUCCUGCUGGGGGACUCCGGGGAGCCCCAUUCUUCCUCCUGCCAACUUUACAGCUACAGAAAAAGUCCUUUCUCAGAGGAACAUGUCCUGGGAGCUUUUUGCCAUGCCCUCCCUGGAUUCCAAGUUAUUAGACUGGAGGCCGAAAAGCCUGGGGUUCUGUUACUUGAGACUAGCUGGCAGAGAAAUAAGGAAAGGAGACAGAGGGACGGAGGGAGACCUGGCUUUCAUGACCCUUGUCCGUGGUGAAUUUGAAAUAGCCCCUUGUUCAGGAGCUAGACGGCUGGAGUGAGACAGAAAUAUACAAUAGUUACAAAUAUCAACAAUACAUUACAGUUUCACAGAAGAGAAUCCUGUGGUUUUUCUCCUUAGAAACGUGGAUCUUGUUAGGAGAAAGGGCAGAGACGAGGCUGCAAGACACUGCGGAGGAGAGGUUAGGAGUCAGUUUGACUAAGUUUAUAUCCCCAGCGGUUUUCAGGGGCAAACUCCGUGGGUUGAAAGGAAGUGGCCUCCUCAGGAUUUUACGGUUUCCUCUUCUUCCUCUUCUUCCUCCUUCUUGAUCCCCAAUUCUUUGAGACAAAGGGGCUUCCUAAGAACCUUCCUCCUUGUUCUUCCCCUUGAAGUGUGCUUAAGAUAGAAUUCCUAAAGAAGGCACUGAGCAAUCCACUGCACCGAAGUCCUAUGUUUUCUUUUACCCAAAGAUAAAAAGGUGAAUAAACUGUCUUCUCCAAAGCUUGCCCACCGCUCUCACCACUGGCUACAGACCCUCCUUGGAGUGAUGGGGACACACAGCUAGCUGGCCCCUAGCCCUUUCUGAUAAUGGUGGAAGUUGGAACUCCAAUUCAGCUGGGUUCUUGAGUUUCAUUGAAGUUGCCAAAGGGCCCAGGCAACCAUCAACCUCCAGCCCCUCGCGUGUUUGUUCGGGUUCGCUUGUUUCUGCUCUGGGUGGUUCAGGAUUGGAUGGAAAAUGGACCACCAAGUCAAAGCAGGACUGGCCUUCGAGCCAUCGCUUUCCACUUCUCCAUCAGUACCGAUCCAUCAAGCUGAGCUUCUCCGCGGAGACUCGUAGGUAGAUUUCCCAGUGCACGCACAUACAGGUAUACAGGUACAGGUCAGGUGUACACUUAGUAAAAUCUGGGCAUGUUCCUUUUUGGCAGGUGGGGGACUGGGAAAAUUUUUACAAUAUGCUAGUUUGAAUUGAGCACAGGGUAAAAGCAAUAUCCCCACAAUACAUACACAUUCAAGUAAAAGGAAAAAAAAAAAAAAAAACAACCCAAACCAAAACGGAAUACGUUCUAAGCAUAGUAUAUGCUGAAUUUCAAUUAUUCUGUUUCUAUAAGAACUCUAUAGGACUCUGGCUCUUCAGCCUGAAAAGGUAGGUUCUUAAUGAUACUUCUGAAUUCGUCCUUCAAAAGUGACUCAAUAAAAUGCUACUUUAAGGUCAGACAAAAUACACGAGGGAGGAAGGAACAGGUCCCACGUGACCACGCAAGGCAGAAAGGGCCUUUGGUUACAAGGAGAGUUGCACCAAUUGGUUAUUAGUUUAAAAAAAAAAAAAAAGGAAAGACGUCAUUUCCAAUCUGUACACUUCUCAUCUGCUUCAACUAACAAAUGAAAUGCCUUGAUUUGAAGAAGGGGUGAUAAAUUCCUUCUCACUGUAUAUGGCUAUAUUUAAACAUGUUCACUUUCCUGAUAUGUAAAAUAGACUAUAUUAUUAUUAUUAUUAAUUUUUACAGAUAGCAUCAGCUCUAAAAAUAUCUGAAUCGGAAAUCAUAACUAUUUACUUUUAUCAAAAAGCAUUUGUUUGUUUUCCCUGAAUUUUCACAUUUGUGCUGAUGGUGGACAUAAAUGGUAAUGAGAACAGAGAAGAGAACGUAAGAUGGCCAGUGGAGAACUGACCCAUGGUCGUCCCCUGGCAGGCCCCCAGCCCGGACUGUGUGCUCCACACGGAUUUUGGAAGCGCGGCUGCUUCCUCUUUCUGGUGUGCAGCUCGUGUGGGAUGACCUCACAGUCUCCUUGCCCCUAAGUCCCUUUGCAUUCGCUGCUCGAGUACUCUGAAGAUACCUAGGAAGAGUCAAGUCCUGGUUUUCUUUGUUAACACGGCAAAGAACAGCACUGCACCUUCUUGGGGGAUCCAUAGUCCCUGGAGAUGCUGGGAAGUGGCAUGAACUAGGUUUGCAGGUGGCAGAGAACACGUGCUUUUAAGGGUGGUGGGAUGACCCCCAUGUCACCGUACUUGUGACAAGUGGCUUCACCUCCUGUCAUUGUACAGAGGGCAGGCAGAACAACUGACAGGUGGAUCGUGCCAUUGUACGAACAGGCAGACUAGCAACGAAUUCCAUUAAGGACAGGCAAACCAACAGCGUGUCUUUGUCCCACCAGGAAGACGUGUGCCUGUCACUGCAUUGAGGAUAGGCAGACCUACACUAUUGCACUUGGGAUGUCAUCCACCAGCGUUAUAUUGAGAACCAACAUCAUUCCAUUGUCUUACAGACAGACAGACCAAAAAUGUGUGAUCUUUACCGACAGAUGAGCCAGCACCCGCAUUGUCUUAAUCAGGGGUUAAUUAAUGUCACUGUACUGAGUGGAUUGGCCAACACUACCGCGCUGUUGGACUGAAUGCAGGCAGGAUGAUGCCAGGUCAUCAAACUAGGACAAGAAGACCAACACCAAGAAAUACACCAGAACCACUCAGGACGCGCACAAAUACUUAUUGCUUUUGUCUGCAUGGGCUGCAUUGGUGGCUGCAGAAGGAAUAGUACAGACAGUGACACUGAGAACACACCAUGGCUGGUUGACAAGAGAGAGCAGAGUAGAACACCCAGUGCCCAAUGUCACCACGUCCUUCUGAGAUGUGCAUGUCUCCUGUACACAUGACUUUAGGGAAGGCCCCUCCCAAGGGCCAAGAGCCCCUGCUGACCCAAGAGGUUUAAGGGGAA